AGCCUGUAAUUCAGUGGUUGUCGUUUGUUUAUGUGUUACAUAUUUGUUUUUCGUUCAUUUUUUUUAUACAAAUAAUGCCGUUAGUUUUCUCGUUUGAAUUGUUUUACAUUGUCAUGUCGGGGCCUUUUAUAGCUGACUAUGCGGUAUGGGCUUUGCUCAUUGUUGAAAGCCGUACGGUGACCUAUAGUUGUUAAUGUCUGUGUCAUUUUGGUCUCUUGUGGAUAGUUGUCUCUUUGGCAAUCAUACCACACCUUCUUUUUUUUAAAUUAUGAUUGUCAAUGGUUCAUAAAAAGAGUGCAAGGUCAGAUGAACCAUGACAUACAGAUCUCUACAAAUAUCCCGUAGACCAAAUAAAUGUGUUCCGAUCCUUACAGUGCCUUAGAAACUGACAAAUGUAAAAGUUAUGCUUGGCCAAUUAAUUCGAAACAUAAGGUCAAUAGUAUAUGAACCCUGACCGACAGCCAGACAUAGACAUCUUACUAUCAUUCAAUAUAUCAAAUACAAUUGACGUCAUCAUGGUCAUAUAUGAAACAUGCAGACAGACAUGUACACCAUACACGAAAUACCAUGGCGCUAUAGCAUACAGGUAUAUAUCCAAAAGGCUAGACAACAUAAAACGAGCAUUGCCGAAUGAUGCAUGAUAAUGAGUUCGAUGUUAUUUGAAACCUUGCAGAAGUCGAAAAUGUACACCUCACAAUCAUAACAACAGACAGUUAUCCUAAAGCUUAACGAAUCCGCGAUACGGACUUGUCCAC
rnacentral:lncRNA from 1 species